rnacentral:tRNA from 1 species
GCGGGUGUAGCUCAGUGGUAGAGCAGCAGCCUUCCAAGCUGAGUGCGGGGGUUCGAUUCCCCUCACCCGCUCCA